rnacentral:lncRNA from 1 species
CUUUUGUAUUGCUGUUCUGAAGCCUUCUAGCAGAGCAAACAGAAAUCUCUUCUCACAGUUCUACAUGAGAGAACUGAAACCUGCAUUGAUCAUGGUGGAUAUCUGUGGAACUGUGAUGGACUUCACACAUGACUAAACUUUCACCUCUAGAAGAUGGAACAAAAGUCCUAGAAGCAAUGCCCCUUCAAAGGAAAUUCUAUGUGUUCCCCAAGCAACCCAGGAAGAAAUCAUUCCUCUGCCAGUUUCUACUCUACUGAAGCUCUUCUCAGCCAAUCAGGAUGUUCAGAAGGGGAACAAAGCAGUCUGGGUAAGGCUGUUCAGGCAAAGUUCUCUUCUCUUUGAGCUUUGAGAACAAAGGUGAUUCUGAGGCUCUGGGAGUUCAGAUCCAUCCCUGCUGCUUGGGACAUUGCUACUCAAGUGAAUUUCCGGACCUGAGAGAGAGAUGCUCUGCUAGAGAAAGGCUUAAAAAAAAAAAAAAAAGAAGUUACUUCUGCUUCCUUUGAUAUCCUGGUUAACCCG